rnacentral:rRNA from 1 species
UACGAAGGGGACUAGCGUUGCUCGGAAUUACUGGGCGUAAAGCGUGCGCAGACGGUUGCGUAAGUCAGAUGUGAAAGCCCCGGGCUCAACCUGGGAAUUGCAUUUGAGACUGCGUAGCUAGGGUGCGGAAGAGGGAAGCGGAAUUUCCGGUGUAGCGGUGAAAUGCGUAGAUAUCGGAAGGAACACCAGUGGCGAAAGCGGCUUCCUGGUCCAGCACCGACGUUCAGGCACGAAAGCGUGGGGAGCAAACAGG